rnacentral:rRNA from 1 species
GUGGGGAAUAUUGGACAAUGGGCGCAAGCCUGACGCAGCCAUGCCGCGUGAAUGAUGAAGGUCUUAGGAUUGUAAAAUUCUUUCACCGGGGACGAUAAUGACGGUACCCGGAGAAGAAGCCCCGGCUAACUUCGUGCCAGCAGCCGCGGUAAUACGAAGGGGGCUAGCGUUGCUCGGAAUUACUGGGCGUAAAGGGCGCGUAGGCGGACAGUUUAGUCAGAGGUGAAAGCCCAGGGCUCAACCUUGGAAUUGCCUUUGAUACUGGCGGUCUUGAGUACGGGAGAGGUGAGUGGAACUCCGAGUGUAGAGGUGAAAUUCGUAGAUAUUCGGAAGAACACCAGUGGCGAAGGCGACUCACUGGCCCGUUACUGACGCUGAGGCGCGAAAGCGUGGGGAGCAAACAGGAUUAGAAACCCCGGUAGUCC